GAAGAUCUUUGUCAGGGGUUUGAGCCAGGAAGCGACAGUGGAAACCAUCAGGGAACAUUUCAGGGCCUUCGGAGAGAUUGAAAUUGUUGAGUUUUUCUACGAUUGCAAUUCAAAGAAGGAUUUCAUCUUCGUCACGUACAAAGAUGAAGCCAGCAUCAAGAGGUGUUUGAAGAAGAAAUACCUCAACAUCCAGGGCCUCUGGUGUAAGCUGGAGAUUGCCCGGCCAAAAGAAGAGUACCUGCAGCAGCGGCACUUUUAGAGAGAUUUUUUUUGGGGGGGAUUUUAAGCCUUUAUUAUAGACCAUAGAGAGAUGCAACAAAGACCCCAGGGGUGGAAGAAGUUCUCAUAUCUUUUGCUCAAGUAACAGCAGCAAUACUGAAAUGUAGAAAUACUCCGUUAUUAAAAGUCCUGCAUUCAAGUUUUUACUGAAGUAAAACUGCAAAAG